UUGUCUCAAAGAUUAAGCCAUGCAUGUCUCAGUACGAGCCCUAUUUGGGCGAAACCGCGAAAGGCUCAUUAAAUCAGUUAUGGUUCCUUAGAUCGUACCCACAAUUACUUGGAUAACUGUGGUAAUUCUAGAGCUAACACAUGCUUACAGAACUCCAACCGGAGACGGAAGGAGUGCUUUUAUUAGAUCAAAACCAAUAGGUGGCUUAAUGGUGAAUCUGAAUAACUUUAUGCUGAUCGCAUGGUCUUGCACCGGCGACAUAUCUUUCAAAUGUCUGACUUAUCAACUGUCGAUGGUAGGUUCUGCGCCUACCAUGGUUGUAACGGGUAACGGGGAAUCAGGGUUCGAUUCCGGAGAGGGAGCCUGAGAAACGGCUACCACAUCCAAGGAAGGCAGCAGGCGCGCAAAUUACCCACUCCCGGCACGGGGAGGUAGUGACGAAAAAUAACGAUACGGGACUCAUCCGAGGCCCCGUAAUCGGAAUGAGCACACUCUAAACCCUUUAACGAGGAUCAAUUGGAGGGCAAGUCUGGUGCCAGCAGCCGCGGUAAUUCCAGCUCCAAUAGCGUAUAUUAAAGUUGUU
rnacentral:rRNA from 1 species